AGAUGCAUGUAACACUACAUCUUACAUUUAAAACCUUACAGUAAAUUUAUACUUACAGGUACUUCUUUUGGGAGACAGGAAAAUCCAGUCUUGUGUACUGUAACAAGUCAAUGUACAUUUAUUAAUUUAAAUAAGAUGCAAAAUGCAUAAUUUAAUUCAUCAAAGCUACAUAAAAAAUUUAAUUAUCUUCUGUAUUGCAGCUGUAGAAAGGGCAAUUCUGGAAACACUAGAGAAAAUGGACAUGAGGAUCAACCAUCUGACUUCACUGGUCCAGUCUCUAGUGGGGGACAGGAGUAUUGUACCCCAAAUGCAGAUGGCUGAAGAGGAAGAGGGUGGUGUCUUUCCUCUAGCAUCUACUGCAGACCUAGAUAGGCUGGAACAAAGACUGGCAGAGAAUGGGAAGAUCACUGAAACGGUCAAAUCUACAACUACUAACAAAAUGACAUUCUGCAAAAUAUGGGAGCUACACUAUGAUGAACUUGCAGACCAACAACAUAACAGACAUACAGCUGGUGCAGAGCAAUGAGGAAGGGGGAAGCUACCACGUGGAGAAGGAGGGUCUUAGAAGAAGCUUGGACCUCCUGGAGGAAAGCGGUGUAAAGUUGGACUGUGUUGUUUCUGACCGUCACCCCCAGAUAAAAAAAAAGUUUUUAAA